GAUGAACGCUGGCGGCGUGCCUAAUACAUGCAAGUCGAGCGAACAGACGAGGAGCUUGCUCCUCUGACGUUAGCGGCGGACGGGUGAGUAACACGUGGAUAACCUACCUAUAAGACUGGGAUAACUUCGGGAAACCGGAGCUAAUACCGGAUAAUAUAUUGAACCGCAUGGUUCAAUAGUGAAAGACGGUUUUGCUGUCACUUAUAGAUGGAUCCGCGCCGCAUUAGCUAGUUGGUAAGGUAACGGCUUACCAAGGCGACGAUGCGUAGCCGACCUGAGAGGUUGAACGGCCGCAUUGGAACUGAGAAACGGUCCAGACUCCUACGGGAGGCAGCAGUAGGGAAUCUUCCGCAAUGGGCGAAAGCCUGACGGAGCAACGCCGCGUGAGUGAUGAAGGUCUUCGGAUCGUAAAAAUCUGUUAUUAGGGAAGAAAAAAUGUGUAAGUAACUAUGCACGUCUUGACGGUACCUAAUCAGAAAGCCACGGCUAAGUACGUG
rnacentral:rRNA from 1 species